rnacentral:tRNA from 1 species
GGCGGAUUACCCGAGCGGCCAAAGGGGGCUGACUGUAAAUCAGCUGGCAUUGCCUACGGGGGUUCGAAUCCCUCAUCCGCCACC